CCGGCCCCGCGCCCACUUUUUGCACCUCUGCGAGUUGCUGGGCACCGGCCGCUUUGAAGCCGAUGGUGCGGGGGUGGGGGGGGCGAGGGGGGCGGAUUUGCUGCUGCAAAGUCUCCCGCAGCCCAAUCGCUCCCGCCGCCCGGCGCUGACAUCAGCUCCGCCAGCCCUCGCCCCCAAACUCCGCUCCCCCGGGGCUGCCGGCUGUGCCCAGCUCACGGGAGAAAGCGAGGGAGAAUGGCCCCGUAGGGAAUAAAAACAUCCUGCCGCCUCGUCUGGGAGAAGCCGGAGGGGCAGCUCGCAAGAAGGGAGGCUGCACGGAGGAUUUCAAGCCUUUUUUUUUUUUUUUUUUUUGUCUGCUUUAAACCAUGUGGACACUGAACACUCCGCUUCCACGUACACAGAAAUGCCUCUGCUGUCCUCCCCAGCCACGCAGUUAUUAACUAGUUCACUAAUUGCAAUGCUUGUUAUUCCCAGUGAAAGAAUAUGAGUUACUGUUGAAGGAUCCCUGUGUCAACAAACCUUAUGCAAGAGGAUAAGUGUAGCGAUUCUCCUUGAAUCUCCAGUUAUUUUUAAGGCACAGUUCUAAGAAAGUAUCAGCAAGGCAACAUUAGCAAUGAUGGAUCUAUACUGGUGAUAUAGCUCCCUCCUAGGCUGGUUUGAGGAUUGGAGAAGGCAUGAAGACAGCUGAAGUCAUGCUGGUGGAAGAUUUCCGCUUGGCCACAAGGAGAUGUGAAAGGCAGUCUUUGUUUAUACUGUCCAUCUACCAGAGGCGUAUGAACACAUGUCUGCUUAAAUCAACCCUGGAGACGAUUUGCUCUGCGGUCCUGUUUAUCUCACCUGUACACUUACACAAGGGCUGCAUUCCACAAUGAGCUGAGGCGUCGGCCAAAUUCACCUCAAGAUUUGCUGUUCUCAAAAGUGAAGACCGAAUUGAUCCAAGAAUUCAAGAGGAAACUUCAGCACACAAUUGUUCUGAAGAGCAGUAGCUGAUGCCUUCCAAAGGCUGGAACAGACAGCUCCAAUCUGCUCAUCUUGCACACAUGACUCGCUUCAAAGUCACAGUAGCUCCAGAAGUGCAGAUGAUCCUGUAAGUAAUUGGGGAUCCCUACAGAGUGAAUGCUAUUGGAAAAAACCCCACUUUUAUCCUUUUUCUUGAACCAUGCAAAGUAUUCUUUACCACCUAAUCCUGCAUUCAAUCUGUUACUUAAAGUAAUAUUGCAGUAAAACACAUAUGACUGAAGACCAUCUGACUGUCAAGUUGUGUUUAACAUGUUUAAUGAAAAUUUAAUGUUCCUACAAUUGAUUUUUCUCUAAGUGGCACUGAAUUACUUAUGAAUAACCUCAUCUCUACUUAAACAAAACAUGUUCCUCUAAUGAGAUACAGCUAAAUGAAGAUCAAAAUGAUCUAUAAUGCAGCAUAUACUUGGCAACACUCUGAAUCAAGAUCCUUCAUAUUUUGGGGACAAACCAGCUCUAGAAGAGAUGGGUGAGAGAGAAGGAAGAUGAAAGUGGCUUCCAUCCUUGAGAGUG